rnacentral:rRNA from 1 species
GACGAACGCUGGCGGCGUGCUUAACACAUGCCAGUCGAACGGAAAGGCCCUGCUUUUGUGGGGUGCUCGAGUGGCGAACGGGUGAGUAACACGUGAGUAACCUGCCCUUGACUUUGGGAUAACUUCAGGAAACUGGGGCUAAUACCGGAUAGGAGCUCCUGCGGCAUGGUGGGGGUGGGAAAGUUUCGGCGGUUGGGGAUGGACUCGCGGCUUAUCAGCUUGUUGGUGGGGUAGUGGCUUACCAAGGCUUUGACGGGUAGGCGGCCUGAGAGGGUGACCGGCCACAUUGGGACUGAGAGACGGCCCAGACUCCUACGGGAGGCAGCAGUGGGGAAUAUUGCACAAUGGGCGGAAGCCUGAUGCAGCAACGCCGCGUGCGGGAUGACGGCCUUCGGGUUGUAAACCGCUUUCGCCUGUGACGCAGCGUGAGUGACGGUAAUGGGUAAAGAAGCACCGGCUAACUACGUG